rnacentral:rRNA from 1 species
UACGUAGGGGGCAAGCGUUGUCCGGAUUUAUUGGGCGUAAAGAGCGUGUAGGCGGUUUGGUAGGUCCGCUGUGAAAACUCGAGGCUCAACCUCGAGACGCCGGUGGAAACCAUCAGACUAGAGUCCGGAAGAGGAGAGUGGAAUUCCUGGUGUAGCGGUGAAAUGCGCAGAUAUCAGGAAGAACACCCGUGGCUAAGGCGGCUCUCUAGUACGGUACUGACGCUGAGACGCGAAGGCGUGGGGAGCGAACAGG